GCCAUCUACCUAGCUCAGUCAGUAGAACAUGAGACUCUUCAUCUCAUGGUCAUGGGUUUGAGGACUAUGUUGGGCA